GCUGGGUGUUGUGGUGGGCGCCUAUGGUCCCAGCUACUUGGGAGGCGGAGGCAGGAGACUCGCUUGAGCCCAGGAGUUGGAGGUUGCUGUGAGCUGUAAUGCCACGGCACUCUACCCAGGGGGGACAGCUUGGGGGUUUUUUCAAAAAAAAAAAAAAAGAAAUAGAGUCUCACUUUGUCACCCCCAGUAGAGUGCUGUGGCAUCAUAGCUCACAGCAACCUCAAACUGCUGGGCUCAAGCAAUCCUCUUGC
rnacentral:sRNA from 1 species